rnacentral:rRNA from 1 species
AACGAACGCUGGCGGCAGGCCUAACACAUGCAAGUCGAACGGGCCCUUCGGGGUCAGUGGCGGACGGGUGAGUAACGCGUGGGAACGUGCCCAUCGGAUCGGAAUAACCCAGGGAAACUUGGGCUAAGACCGGAUACGCCCUUUUGGGGAAAGAUUUAUCGCCGAUGGAUCGGCCCGCGUCUGAUUAGCUUGUUGGUGGGGUAACGGCUCACCAAGGCGACGAUCAGUAGCUGGUCUGAGAGGAUGAUCAGCCACACUGGGACUGAGACACGGCCCAGACUCCUACGGGAGGCAGCAGUGGGGAAUAUUGGACAAUGGGCGCAAGCCUGAUCCAGCCAUGCCGCGUGAGUGAUGAAGGCCCUAGGGUUGUAAAGCUCUUUCGCACGCGACGAUAAUGACGGUAGCGUGAGAAGAAGCCCCGGCUAACUUCGUGCCAGCCGCCGCCGUAACAC